rnacentral:rRNA from 1 species
CGCCUGUUUAACAAAAACAUCUUUUCUUGUUAGUUUUUGAAGUAUGGCCUGCCCACUGACUAUGGAGUUGAAGGGCCGCGGUAUUUUGACCGUGCAAAGGUAGCAUAAUCAUUAGUUCUUUAAUUGUGAUCUGGUAUGAAUGGCUUGACGAGACGUGAGCUGUCUUAGGGGUAUUUUGUUUGAAUUUGGUUUUUGAGUUAAAAUUCUUAGAUGUUUUUAUGGGACGAGAAGACCCUAUAGAGUUUAAUAUUUUUCUUAUUAUGUUAUUGUUGUGUUUGUUUCAUUAUUUUUAGUGGGUUAAGUAUUUUGUUGGGGUGAUGGGAGGAAUUUAUUUAACUCCUCUUUAUUUUGAUAUAUUGAUUUAUGUGUUUUUGAUCCAUUUAUUUUGAUUAUAAGAUUAAAUUACCUUAGGGAUAACAGCGUUAUCUUCCCCGAGAGUUCUUAUCGGCGGGGAGGUUUGCGACCUCGAUGUUGGAUUAAGGUGAAUUUUCGGUGCAGGAGCUGAAAUGAUUGGGUCUGUUCGACCUUUAAAACCUUACGUGAUCUGAGUUCAG